GACGAAGGUGGCAAGCGUUGUCCGGAAUCAUUGGGCGUAAAGCGCGUGUAGGCGGCCCGGUAAGUCCGCUGUGAAAGUCGGGGGCUCAACCCUCGAAUGCCGGUGGAUACUGUCGGGCUAGAGUGCGGGAGAGGCGAGUGGAAUUCCUGGUGUAGCGGUGAAAUGCGCAGAUAUCAGGAGGAACACCAAUUGCGAAGGCAGCUCGCUGGAACGUAACUGACGCUGAGACGCGAAAGCGUGGGGAGCAAACAGG
rnacentral:rRNA from 1 species